UACGUAGGGGGCAAGCGUUGUCCGGAAUCAUUGGGCGUAAAGAGCGCGUAGGUGGCCAGAUAAGUCCGGUGUGAAAGUCACAGGCUCAACCUGUGAAUGCCGCUGGAAACUGUCUGGCUAGAGUCCGGUAGGGGCGAGUGGAAUUCCUGGUGUAGCGGUGAAAUGCGCAGAUAUCAGGAGGAACACCAAUGGCGAAGGCAGCUCGCUGGAACGGUACUGACGCUGAGGCGCGAAAGCGUGGGGAGCAAACAGG
rnacentral:rRNA from 1 species